CAACUGGCUUACCUGGUUAAAUAAAGGUGAAAUAAAUAAAAAAUAAAAAAACACAAGCUGGACGAUGAAAGGUAGGUGUUGCACACUUGGACACAAAGGAAUUUUCACACGUGCAAUAAUAAUUCAUAUUUUGUUGGGCUACAGUGCUUUCACUACCAGGUAAAGUGCAAUUUCACCUUUUCUUUUAUUUAACUCACAAAACUGAUAAAACUACUAGCAGAUAUUUCACUACUUAUUCACAUACACAUUAUACAUACAUUUAUAUUGCUGCACAUAAGCUCAAUGUUGCUACAUGCUAUCAGCUGUUUCUGUAACUGACUGCGGUGCCCCCUCGCUCCCUACCUAAAGGACCCACAGCUGCCUGUGUGAGCAGAGCUUUACAGAAUAAACCCACUGAAAUACAGUUGCUCUUGCAGUUGAAUAAACAAAAAUUUACCAAACCAUUAAAAAAAACACGUGAGAAUGAAGUGGGGGGUAUCCACUGUCCAUUCAUAUGUCCCACAUCACUGUCGAUCCUGCAUAGGUACUAUAGGCCUUUACUGAAGUGGCACGGUCAUCCAGAACCAACUUAAAGAACUCCAACACGUUUCGGCAUCUAGCCUUUGUCAGGGAGUCAAAUAGAUGUAAUGAGAGACACUGGGUUUUUUCUAGUGUUAAUCCACCAAUAGGAAACAUGGGACACAUCCAUAUACAUAAUGUUUACAUGAUUUGACUAUUGUAGGCCUGAAGGACACCUACUGGUUUUAAGAUGUCUACAACACCCACUCUAGCCCAGAACACCUUGGACACUAGAAAAGACCCAUUGUCUCUCAUUUCAUCUGUUUGACUCGCUGACGAAGGCUAGAUGCAAAAACGCAUUAAAGUUCUUUUAAAUUGGUUCUGUAUGGCUUGGCCACUUGCAAUACAAGCAUUUUAAUAGUAAAAAAAUAGUAGUUUGAGCUUUCUUUUAUUUUAUACCUUUUCCAUUAAAAAAGAAACUCAAACUAACUCAGAUUUGAGUCCAGGAAGCGCUCCUAUCCACAUGUUCUCAAAAUAAUCUUUUUUUUUUAUACAUCUUUCUGUUCCCUCUACUACUACAUGCUACUCAAAGCUACAUUAUAGCCUUUAUCAUGAAGCUAAUCAUUUUAAUAUGUUUUAUCAUGUUUCAGAGAUGCACCAGGACAAUCAACAAUUCAGCCAGGACAGAUAGUAAUAUCUGAUGCUGAGGAUCUGGAUCCACCGGAAGCAAAUCCAGAAAAAAUUUCUUGCUACAGUAAAUACACAGACCUGUAUUCACCAAAUGUUGAGCAGGAGGACGAAGAGCCGGUUGCUGUCAAUGUGAAGAAUUUCCAACACACAGCAAUGGAGGAGAUGGACAUUGCAUUACCUGACAUCGUAGCAAACCUGUCUCUUCCUAUUGAUCAUAAAAAAGUCAGCCGGUUUAACAUCUCAAGGGCUAAUGUUUGGGAUGGGGCAGUCAAAGGUUUCAAGCGUACAACAUAUUCUGAAACCUGUGACAUGCUGGUGAAAUUUACUGAUGAUACUGGUGUUCUGGAAGAGGGAAUUGACACUGGUGGUCCAAGACGAGAGUUUUUAACUCUACUGAUGAAACACCUAAAAGACCGGCCCAUUUUUGAUGGACCAGAAGGACAUCGGUUCUUGGUCUACAAUGCAAAGGAUUGAGAAUGCUGCUUCAUUGGAUGCUCUGAAAGAAUGUAUGAUGAGACACAGCACAAUGUUACAGACAGCAGGUUGUCUGAGACAUGUGGCUACUGUGGAAGAAAAGAAAGAAAUCGUGUCAGACUACCUCCAAUGGUAUAUCAUUGAUCGCAACUCAUCUGUAAUUGACAGAUUCAGAGAUGGUCUUUCAGCCCUGGAGUUUUUGACUGCACUACAGCAACACCCUACUUUACUGGCCCCUGUCAUGUGCCACUCUGAAAGGCGACUCACUGCUUUUGAACUUGAGAGACUCUUCAAACCUGACCUCAGUCCUUCGGGGAGUAAUCGAAGACUUAAAGAAAGUCAAACCAUGGCCUACUGGGCAGACUAUCUCCUUGAUUGUGAAGAAGGCCAGGCUGCUGUGUCUGUGGAAGAUGUUUUGAUGUUUGCUACUGGGCUGUCUUCACUUCCCCCAUCUGGCUUGGAACCACUGCCACAAAUAGAGUUCCUGGAGGACUCUGCGUUCCCAAUGGCAAAUACAUGUUCAAACUCCUUGAGAUUACCACUCCUAGACUCAUACACUUUGUUUAAGUCACAAAUGGACUUUGGAAUUCAAAAUAGUCCAGGAUUCGGCUGUUUCUAAGCUAUAUGAUGGAUGACCCCUAGAGUUAAGACUCUGAAAAAGUUGUUGUUGUUAAAGGUUAGGGUUGGGCAUCAUUUAGAUUUUAACGAUUCUGAUUCCAAUUCUUCCUUUUGAUUCCGGUUCUUAUCGAUUCUCGAUUCCGAUUCUUUGAGUGGUGGAGUUGAAACGGGUCACAUGCUUAUUUCACAAAUAAGAGGAAAGUUUUAUUUUGAUUCAAAGGUGGGUUGCAGUUUGACGGGGCUUUUUCAAUGUAAAAUAAAGCCACACUAGAGCACCGCUUACUGUGCUCCAUGGCUGCAACACAACAAGCACCUGGCCGCUACAGAAACCAAAACUUGCGCAUGUUAAAUUUGGAACCCAUGAUCAGAUUUGAAACCCAAUCCUCCAAAACGAUUCCAAUAAAGAAACAAUUCCGAUGGAAUCGUAAUUUUUUAAACUAUUCCAAGUAGGAAUUGGUUCUUGAUGCCCAACCCUAUUAAAGGUGCACUUUUAAAGUGCAGUUGCCAAAGUUGUUUUUAUAAUGUUACUGUAUGUGAGCAUGUUCUUUUCUCACAGUAAACAUUUUGAAAAUGUUUUAGAUCCAUUACUCUCAAUACUACAAAAGUGUAAUAAAUACUGAUUACUA